GUUUGGUCUCACAUGGGUUUGGAUCAAGUGCGUCGAGUUGAUGGAGAUUCUUUUAAGGCGUGGCUUUUGGUGUAGUGAAGCUUUUGUGCACUAAUCUUACCUGUUUUGCUACGUUGUGUUGUGAUAUCUGGUAUGCACGAAACCAUGAGAAUUUGGGGUUGUGAAUUGGGAUGUGGCUGCUGCCGAGGCCUUAGCAAUGGCUUACGGGUUGCGAUUGAUUGUUGAUUUGAGCUUUCACCAUCUUGUUGGUGAGUCAGAUGGUAAGUUUUUAAUUGAAAAAUUGAAGGGUGGGGAGCACUUAAAUUGAAGAGGUUGCUCUAGAUGACUGUUUCUUCUUCCAGCAAAUGUUGCUGCACUGGAGAAGAUGUUCCAGACUCUUUCAAGCAUUUUGCAUCAAUUGAUGCUUCUGUUUCUGUUUAUUCUGUUUCUUGAAGACGGAUUUUUUUGGCAAUAUAUGGCUUCCCAAAUAGCUUAUAUAGUUGGAAUUUGAAAAAAUGGUUUGAUCUGCAUCUUUUAUA
rnacentral:misc_RNA from 1 species